CUUAUUCAGCACGCGGAAGAUAGCACGCAGAGAAAAUCACGCACAGGCGAGCACGAGACCGGGCCCACGUCCCAGCCUCUCUCGCUUAUGGAACACACGUAAGCACACGCACGCCGGCGGCCCGCGCGUCGGCGACGAUCUAGCCGAAGUGGUGGUGCUUCUUCUCGCCGCUGGCCUCCUUGGCCUCCUUGUGGUCCUGCUUCUUCUCGUGGUGCUCGUGGAAGACGAAGCCGCCGGCACCGACGGCCGCGGCGGCGGCCAGCUCCUCCUCGAUCUUGUGCUUGUGCGCGUGUUCCGGGUCCUUCUUCGCCUCGUGCUUCUCGUACUGCACGUGGACAAGCAGUUCAUUAGCCAAGCCCGGAAAGACAUGAACUACGUAUAUAUCUAUAUACGCGUAUGGGUAAAUAGUUACGAUGAGAGAGAGAGAGCGUACGAGGGCGAAGGCUCCGGCGGCGACGGCGCCCAUCUCGCCGAGGUGCUCCUUGUGCUUGUGGUGCUUCUCCUCCUUGGUGAUCCGCUCGUACUCGCCCUCGUUGCCGGUGCCGGUCACCACCGUCUCGGUCGAGUACCCGUACACGUCGGCGCCGCCAUCAGCGGCGGGCUGGAAGUCCUCGCCCUCCUUCUUGUGGUGGAACAGGUGGUGGUGGUGCUUCUCCUCCGCCAUGGCCGCCGGCUGAUCGAUUAACUAGCUUGUAUGUGUGCGUGUAUGUGACAGUGGGACAGCUUCUUAUCUGCUUGGUCUGUGUAGGCUUCCUACUGGCCGGGUUUUAUAGGCUGAGGCGACUGUUGGAAUGGACGGUGGAACUAACCGUUCCGUUCCACGGGUUAUGGAUACUGGAUCCAUCAAAUAUACAGUACGUAUGCAUACGAUUGUGAUCUGCUUUAUGUACGUGUCCCGGAGUCAUUGGAGGCUUGGAGCCCAAGCACUCAGGCAACCACAGGACAGGGGGCCACGUUCUGAUGGCCAACGGUGCAGCGCCCCACCACCUUCUUGGCACUUGGCAGAGUUGCAGCUUGGGGUAGCUUACAUGUGAGUAACAAAAGUUUAGAGAAGUGUCGGCAUGCACGGAUUGGCUGACGGUGAUGUGGCACCGCGCACGCCUUUCCCUGCUCCCCGCGUCCACUAUCCAGCAACCUUUACUCGUAUGUAAUUACGUGUGCGCAUUAUUACUUUUUCUUUUUUGAGAAGUACUCCGUAGUACUAUUUGUGAAAAGUAAAAACGAGAGAGAGGAUAAAAAUGAUGGAACCGUUGCUUUCAUUGAUGGAUUGGGAGUAUAUAUACCCCUGAUACAAGGCAGUUACAAAGAGGCAGUUGCUACUAGUAGCAACCGACAUAGCGGGGAUUAACCCUUUAAUUAAUCUAAUUAAUUUAUUUCUAACACUCCCCCUAAUCACUGCUUGUCUUGGAUAUUUAUUAUCUUGAUAAAGACUCCUCUUUGUAUGUGUCUUUAAGAAUGUCCAUCAUCUUCGUGAAAGCCUUUGUAUAAUCUUGAAAGUCUUCCCAAAAAACCCUGUGGGAAAAAAUAUGAGGAGAAUAGUGUAGGUAUGUUGCUAAAACUCCUUUAAACCCGGUGGGAAAAUAAUAAGGAGAAAAUAAUGCAACAUAUAAUGAUUAUUGUCUCUUGAUAACUCAAUCGAGAAAACCUUUGAAGAAGGAGAAAAAUCAAUUGUGAGUUUAGAGAACAAUUAAUAUGUCUUUAAUACUUUCUUUAAAAAAACCCAAUAGGGAAAAUAGAAAGUAUGGCAUAUGAUUUUGAUAAUAUAUUGCCUCAUUAAAAACCUUUUUAUGAGAAAACUGAUGCAAAACUCAUAAAGGAAAAGAGUACAAUUAUUAUCUGAUGAUAAUUAAUGGGUUAUGAGUCUAGGAAUUUCUCCCCCUGAAAUUUGCAAAUCUCGAAAACGUCUCAUACCAAUUCCAUGAAUAUAUUUCUGGAAUGUUGAAUUUGGUAAAGACUUUGUGAACAAAUCUGCUAGAUUGUCGCAUGAUUUGGUUUGCAAAAUAUCAAUUUCUCCAUCCUUUUGUAAUGCAUGAGGAUAGAAUAACUUAGGAGAAAUGUGUUUUGUGAUAUUACUUUUCACAUAACCCAUUUGCAUUUGAGCAAUGCAGGCUGCAUUAUCUUCAUAUAUAAUAGUUGGUGAUCCUAAUGAACCAACACCACAUGAAGUUUGAAUAUGGUUAAUCAUCCUGCGAAGCCAUACACAUUCUUUAGAUGCUUCAAAUAAUGCAAUAAUUUCAGAAUGAUUAGUGGAUGUUGCUACGAGAGUCUGUUUUGUUGACUUCCAUGAAAAAACAGUUCCACCAUAUAAGAAUACGAAACCUGUUUGUGACCUGGCAUUGUGAGGAUCAGAUAGAUAGCCAGCAUCAGUAUAUCCUACCAUAGUCAUAUCUUGGUUUUUCUGAUAGAAUAAGCCAAGAUCUUUUGUGCCAUGUAAAUAUCUAAGGAUAUUCUUUACUCCCGUCCAAUGACGUUUUGUUGGAGCAGCGCUAUGUCUAGCUAGUAAAUUUACCGCAAAUGCAAUAUCAGGCCUGGUGCAAUUUGCAAGGUACAUUAGCGCACCAAUGGCACUGAGAUACGGGAACUCAGGUCCUAAUAUCUCUUCGUCAUCAUCCCGAGGUCUAAAAGGAUCUUUAUUCAUAUCAAGGGAUCUGACAACCAUGGGUGUUUUGGUUGGAUAUGAUUUAUCCAUAUUAAAUUUUUCCAAAACCUUUUGAAUAUAUGCAGGUUGGUAUACUAAAAUUCCUGAGGGAAGAUGCUCAAGCUGUAAGCCUAAGCAGAAUUUGGUCUUUCCCAAAUCUUUCAUCUCAAAUUCCGCCAUUAGAUGAUUGCGUGCUUCUUCGAUAUCAGGUCUACAUCCAAUGAUAUUGAGGUCAUCAACGUACACUGAGAUGAUGCAAAAUCCAUUUGGGGAUUUCUUUAUAAAUACACAAGGGCAAUCAUCAUUAUUUGAGUAGCCUUUUUGAAUAAGGAACUCACUCAGCCGGUUAUACCACAUUCUACCCGACUGUUUUAAGCCAUAUAGUGACUUUUGUAAUUUUACACAAUAUGCGUUGCGAUUUGCUUUUGGAUUCGGCAUUUUAAGUCCUUCAGGGACUUUCAUAUAUAUAUCCGAUUUGAGUGACCCAUAUAAGUAUGUUGUCACUACAUCCAUCAACUGCAUAGAUAAAUUCAUUUGUACUGCCAAAGAUAUUAAGUAUCGAAACGUUAUUCCACUCAUUACAGGAGAGUAUGUAUCAUCGUAAUCGAUGCCGGGUCUCUGCGUGAACCCUUGUUCUACAAGCCUCGCUUUGUAUCUCACCACCUCAUUGUUUUCAUUCCUUUUUCGAACAAAAACCCAUUUUGCUCCAACAGGGAAGACAUUGUGAGGAGUAGGUAUUACUGAGGAAAAUACCUCUCUUUUGUUGAGCGAGCGCAGUUCUGCCUCAAUUGCUUCCUUCCAUUUAGGCCAAUCAGGACGCUUGAGGCACUCCCUGACGGUCUUUGGUUCUGGAUCCAGUUGAAGGGUUUCAGCAAUUUCAGAGGCGAAAUAUAUGUCGACAAUUGUAGUCUCUCUAUUAUAUGAUUCUCCUAAUUCUGUAUAGUUUAUGGAAAUUUCUUUUAUACCUUCAGACUCUAUGUGAUUUCCCACAACAAUAGAAUCAUGGUGUUCCGAUGUCCCAGCAAUUAUGUUUUUAUGCGCAUUUAUGCUUGGUUCAAGAUGUUGAGCAUCUGGUUGGUGUCCUUCAACUUGAGGUUGAAUUGCAUUUACUGGUAGAGGAUUUGAUUUCCUCUGUUUCCGCGGAGGCUUUUGAGAAGCUAUAUUCCGACUAACCAGAUUUCUCCCCCUCUUACUCUCAUUUGGGGUUUGAGUGGUUUUAGUUGGUACCUCCACUCGUUCUGGUGCAUUAACAGCGGGAAUAUGUGAUUUAGUGACACCUUUAUGGUGAGUAAAUGCAUCUGGCAGAUUAUUUGCAAUGUGUUGCAAAUCUAUGAUCCUGUGAACUUCAGUUUCAGAUUCUUUAGUACGUGGAUCUAAGGACUGAAUGCCUGUUACAUUCCAAUCUAUUUCCUGGCAUUCUUUGUGGUUUGAUUCUCCCCCUAAUGCCGGGGAAUGGUCCUCAUCAAAAAUAGAAUCAGCGUAACGGGCAGUAAACAGGUCCCCUGUAAGAGGUUCAAGAUAUUUAAUAAUUGACGGAGAAUUAUAACCCACAUAGAUCCCUAGUUUUCUGUGGGGGCCCAUGGAUGUACGCUGCGGUGGUGAUAUCGGUACGUAUACUGCGCAACCGAAUUUUCGCAGAUGGGAAAUACUUGGCUGAGUGCCACGUACUAGUUGUAGCGGGGAGGUUGUAUGAUAUGCAGUUGGUCUGAUUUGUAUCAGAUCUGCGGCGUGUAAUACCGCAUGUGCCCAACAAGAUGCUGGUAAAUUACAAUUCUGUAAUAGUGGUCGAGCAACUAAUUUUACUCUUUUGAUGAGAGAUUCAGCCAAACCAUUUUGAGAUUCUGCGGCGGUUCUGGCGGUGGUUCCCGGCGAAGAAGCGGCGAUGAGGGCCACUCCGGUUCUGGCGGUGGUUCCUGGUGAAGGAACGGCGGCGAGGGCCAUUCCUUGCACCAAGGCCCUCACGGCGACGUGCAAUGCGGUGGCGCUGCGUGCGAGUGAAGCGGCUGUCUUCUUUCUGCAGGAAACGUGCGAAAGCAAAAGCAAGCGAGGACAAAUCUCUCCCUGCCAUUCUCACCUUUCUCUUGGCUCUCUGUCGCUCUCGGCAGAGCAAGUGCUGAUAACGUGUGAAAAGUAAAAACGAGAGAGAGGAUAAAAAUGAUGGAACCGUUGCUUUCAUUGAUGGAUUGGGAGUAUAUAUACCCCUGGUACAAGGCAGUUACAAAGAGGCAGUUGCUACUAGUAGCAACCGACAUAGCGGGGAUUAACCCUUUAAUUAAUCUAAUUAAUUUAUUUCUAACACUAUUAUUGGAAAACAUGCAUACACAUGCAGAUGUUUGGAUUUUUUCACUGUUUUGACCUUACAUGUAAACAUGAGCACAAAAUGAACUCAGUCUGAAAAUAUUUUUGGAUCUGACCUUUCUUUAAAACGCCAGAGUCCGUCGCGUUGCUGCUCCACGUAGAAACGCCAGACUAACGUGGCGUUUUUGAUCUACAUUCAAACGUCAGUCUACUGGACGUUGCAGCAUAUAUAGAAACGCCAAGUUCAGUCUGUUGUAAGUUGAAUCGAGAGAAACAAAUGAAUCAAUUGUCACUUUAUUCCUUGAUGAUUGAACACUUUAUAUGCCAGGGAAAGACGGUUCCCGGAGGCGACGCUCCAGGAACAAUACGCCGGUUCCGCAUCGUGGGGGGAAUUCACGUGCGGUUACAAGUAGAGAUUAAUUUAACUAAUUACAUAAUUAAUUAAAUUCUAACACUCCCCCUAAUCUAUACUUGUCCAUGAGCGUGUCCAUCAUCUUGAAAUAGUCUCCUCCAAAAACCCUGUGGGAAAAAUAUAAGGAGUGGUGUAGUAUAUGCGGCUAAAACUCCUUCAAACCCUGUGGGGAAAUAAGGAGAAAAUGAUAUAGCAUAUAAUGCGUAUUGCCUCUGUUAACUCUAUAUGAAAUGUAUCCAUAGAAUAAGAGGACAAUAAAUAUGUCGUAUAUACUUUCCUAAAAACCCCGGUGGGGAAAACAGAUAGUAUGACAUAUGAUCUUAUGUUGAUAUUACCUCAUUAAAAACCUCGAUGAGAACCUAUAAAGUAAACUCAUAAAGGGAAAAGAGUGUAAUAUGAUGCUUUGAACAGGAAGAGUUCAGGAAGAGACUCCCCCUGACUCUUGCAAAUCUCGGAGCCGUCGCAUACCAAUUCCAUGAAUGUAUUUCUGGAAUGUUGAAGCUGGUAGAGACUUCGUGAAAAGAUCAGCUAGAUUAUCGCAUGACUUGACUUGCAAGAUGUUGAUUUCACCACUUUUCUGGAGUUCAUGGGGAUAAAACAACUUAGGGGCAAUAUGCUUAGUGAUAUUGCUCUUUAUGUAUCCUGUUUGCAUCUGUGCAACACAAGCCGCAUUAUCUUCAUAGAUAAUGGUAGGUGAUUUGAUAGAACCAAUUCCACGUGACUGUUGUAUGUGGUUUAUCAUUCUGCGAAGCCACGUGCAUUCACGUGAUGCCUCAUAUAAAGCAAUUAUUUCAGAAUGAUUGGUAGAUGUUGCAACUAGGGUCUGUUUUGAAGACUUCCAUGAUAUAGCAGUUCCACCAUGUAGGAACACAAAGCCGGUCUGCGAUCUGGCAUUAUGGGGAUCAGAUAAAUAGCCAGCAUCUGUAUAUCCAAUUAUACCAGAGUCUAGUUUUUUCUGGAACUGAAUAGGCCAAGAUCCUUUGUGCCUUGGAGAUAUCGAAAGACAUUCUUGACUCCCGACCAAUGGCGUUUGGUGGGAGCUGCGCUGUGUCUAGCAAGUAGAUUUACUGCAAAUGCGAGGUCAGGUCUCGUGCAAUUUGCUAGAUACAUAAGCGCUCCAAUUGCACUGAGAUAUGGAACCUCGGGUCCAAAAAUCUCUUCACCAUCAUCCCUUGGCCUGAACGGAUCUUUCUCUACGUCUAGAGAUCGAACCACCAUGGGAGGUUUAGAUGGGUAGGAUUUGUCCAUAUUGAAUUUCUCCAAUAUUUUCUGGAUAUAGGCAGCUUGGUGUACCAUUAUUCCUGAGGUAAGGUGCUCGAGUUGGAGACCCAAGCAAAAUUUGGUUUGGCCCAAAUCCUUCAUCUCAAAUUCCAUCUUUAGGUGAUUGCGUGCUUCAUCAAUAUCUGGUGUACAGCCGAUGAUGUUGAGAUCAUCAACAUACACAGAAAUGAUGCAAAAUCUUGUAGACGACUUCUUGAUGAAGACACAUGGGCAAUCAUCACUAUUGGAGUAACCUUUCUGAAGAAGGAACUCACUUAGUCGGUUGUACCACAUCCGCCCCGACUGUUUUAAGCCAUACAAUGACUUAUUCAGCUUUACACAAUACAUGUUGCGUUUUGCAUUGUUACUCGGGACAGAGAUUCCGUCAGGAACCUUCAUAUAUAUGUCCGAAUCUAGUGACCCGAAAAGAUAUGCGGUCACGACGUCCAUCAACUGCAUGGAUAGACGAUUUUGUACUGCCAUAGAUAUAAGAUAUCGGAAAGUUGUUCCACUCAUUACUGGAGAGUAUGUCUCAUUGAAAUCAAUGCCGGGUUUCUGCGUAAAACCUUGUGCUACGAGCCUUGCUUUAUAUCUCACCACCUCAUUGUCCUCAUUCCGUUUCCGGAGGAAAACCCAUUUGAAUCCCACAGGGAAAACAUUGGGAGGUGUAGGUAUUGCUUCAGUGAAUACCUUCCUUUUGUUAAGCGAGGCAAUUUCUGCUUGGAUUGCAUCCUUCCAUUUAGGCCAGUCGGAGCGCCUUUGGCAUUCGACGAUAGACCUUGGAUCAUGAUCAGUGAUAAGGAUAUCUACAAUCUUUUCAGCAAAAUAUAUGUCGACAGUCGUAGUCUUGCGGUCAAAUGAUUCUCCAGAAUCAACAUAGUUGAUGGAAAUUUCUUGCACCCCUAGAGACUGUUCGUUAUUUCCCAAUACGAUUGAGUCUAGGUGUUCCGAUGUUCCAGCUAGUUUGUGCAUACUGGAGCUGGGUUGUGAAGGUCUCCCUUCCACUGGGUGUAAACUACCCAUAAGGUGUUCAUCAACGUUGAGUUGACUUGCAUUUACUGAUUUUGAGGAUCUUCUCCUCUCUCUCCUUUGCUGCUUGCGAGAAGCAGGUUCCGGGUCAGAGGUCGUACUACUCCCCCUCUUUUUAGGAACAGGGAGUUGAGUGGUUUUAGUUGGUACCUCCACUCUUUCGGGCGCAUUUCUGGCUGGAAUCAAGGAUUUUGUAACACCUUUUAGAUCAGUAAAUGAAUCUGGCAGAUUAUUUGCAAGAUGUUGCAAAUUGAUAAUUUUCCGAACUUGUAGUUCGGUCUCUUGAGUACGUGGAUCAGAGGCUGAAAUGGCAAUGGCAUUCCAAUCAAUUUCCGAGCAUUCUUUCUGGUACUUGAAAUCUCCCCCUAAUGCCGGAAAAUGUUCCUCAUCAAAAAUGCAAUCAGCGUGACGGGCUGUGAAUAGAUCCCCAGUAAGGGGUUCCAGGUACUUGAUAAUCGACGGCGAUCUGUACCCCACAUAGAUCCCAAGUUUCCUGUCUGGGCCCAUGGAUGUCCGCUGUGGUGGUGAGAUUGGGAUGUACGUAGCACAUCCGAACUUACGCAGAUGGGAAAUGCUGGGAGGAUUUCCACGUACCAAUUGCAGAGGGGAAGUACUGUGAUAUGCAGUAGGUCGCAAUUGGAUUAAGUCAGUAGCGUGUAAAAUUGCAUGACCCCAACACGAAGUUGGUAAGCUGCAAUUCAUUAACAAAGGUCUUGCAAUGAGUUUGAUCCUUUUAAUUAGAGAUUCGGCCAAACCAUUUUGAGUAUGAACGUAUGGGACAGAGUGCUGAACUUCAAUCCCCAAGGCCAUGCAAUAGUCAUUGAAAGCACGUGAACAAAAUUCUGCAGCAUUGUCCAUGCGAAUUGAUUUAAUUCAACUUUCUGGAUAAUGGGCCUGUAACUUAAUUACUUCCCGCAUUAUCUUGGCAAAUGCAUGGUUUCGUGUGGAUAGAAGGCACACGUGUGACCAUCGUGUAGAUGCAUCAAUCAGAACCAUGAAAUACCGAAAUGGUCCAGAUAAUGGUUGGAUAGGACCACAAAUGUCACCUUGAAUGCGUUCAAGGAAGUGAAGUGGUUCAGCUUGUAUUUUAAGGUGUGAUGGCCUUAAAAUUAGUUUCCCUGUGGCGCAGGAUGUGCACACAAAGUCUGAUGACUGAGGAAACUUUGACUCGAGCAAAUUAUGACCAAUAGAAUUGCUAGUAAUUUUCCUCAUCAUCCCAACACUGGGGUGGCCAAGGCGAUCAUGCCAAGUUUGGAAUGCAUUAACAUUCUGAAAAAUUACCUUGUAAGCAACAUGUUCUACGGGCUUGAUGUACGUAUAGUACAGUCCGGACGAUAGUGAAGGAAUUUUUUCAAGUACUUGCUUGCCAUAUCCGUAAUCUUUUGUGAAGAGUAGAAACUCUUCUGUGUUGUCCUCAUGGGUUUCAAUGUGAAAACCAUUUUUACGGAUAUCUCAAAAACUGAUUAGGGUACGGGAUGAAUCAGGAUACAGCAAGGCAUCCUCAAUUGUCACUUGUGUACCACCUCGGAGGGUAAAUAUGGCACGUCCAGUGCCAACAAUUACCGUAUCGCGUCCAACGAUUGUCAAAAUAUCUCCAUUCAUCUUUUUCAGAGUCUGAAAAUAUUUCAACUCCCUUGGUAUGGAGUUUGUGGUAGCACUGUCCACAAGGCAUAAUUCCUCUUCCAUCGGAUUGUCCCCAUAGAAAGCUAUAUAUAAAAAUGAGGAAUUUUCAAUAAGAAAGCCUUAUUUCAAUACAUAGAAUACAAUCUUAUUAUAUCAAAGUGCUGAUACAAUAUAUAAAUGACAACAAUACUUAUGUUCUAUUACAAUCAUCACACAUGGAUAUGAUUUAUUUAAUAAAUCGACCACUAAGGAGAUAAUGGGACUAAUCGAAGUCUCCAAACAUGUCGGUUGAGGUGUACUCAACCAUCAUGUUCUCCGUGUCUGUAGGAUCCUCUAAUGUAUGGAGUGUCAUGGUGUUGCUAGAUCCGGGAGGAACAUCUUGCGAACAACCAGCUCCAUUGGUGCCAUCUGGAUGAAGGUUGAAGUUGGCUUGAAACCUUUUCCCUUGAGGUACUUUGCGUCCCUGAGAUUGCUGAUACAGAAUUGCCAGAUGCUUCGGGGUCUUGCACUUAUUGGUAGGAUGCGUGUAGCAUCCACACUUGUCACAAAGCUUAGUUUGGUCAAACUUGGGCUUUGCGGUGCCUUUCCCAUGGUCCGAGUUUCUAGGCUUUCUGUUCCGGUUGCGCUUGCAUUUACCCUUGAAGUUCGAUGGCUUGCCAUGGGACGCACCAUCAAACUUUCGUCUGUUCACGACGUUCAUAUGAACUUCAGGCAGAGGUUGGGAACCAACCGGACGCUGAGAACCAUUCUUAGCGAGUAGCUCAUCAUGCUUUUCAGCCUGAAGUAGGAUAUGAAUGAGGUCGGAAUAGACUUGGUAGUCAUGAGCGCGGUACUGUUGCUGGAGGACCCUUUCAUAUGGGAGCAUAGUAGACAUAGUUUUUUCUAUCUUUUCCGCAUCAGUAGGUUCCUUCCCGCAAAAGCGUAAUUUGGAACAUAUCUUAUGAACCUCGUGAUUGUACGCCCCGAUGGACUUGAAAUCCUGGAGUCGGAUAUGCGUCCAAUCAUGGAGUGCUUCCGGCAGGACAACUGCCUUUUGCUGUUCAUACCUCGUCUUGAGGGCCUGAAACAGAGUAAGUGGGGAUUCCUCCUCCAAAUAUUCAGAUUUGAGAUCUGGGUGGAUAUGGUGCCUUAUGAUGUAUAAGGCGGCAUAUUUCUGUUCAUCUCUCAGCGGCGUGACUCCAUCCGGAAGAGGAUCUUCCGGAGUCUGGAUUGCACACACUAAUCCACGAGAUGCAAGAGCGAUCUUGAUGUCCAUGGCCCAGGUAGGAUAGUUGUGGCCAUUGAGGUCGGGUGCAUCGAACUCUCUUCCAGCCAUUGGUUACCUACAUGGGUAAACCAGAGAUUAUUAAUUUACACCAGGUAAAUUAAAACCUUCAUGGUUACGUUGUAUUGAACGUUGCAAAAUUAAUGAUAACUUCAAGAAAUGGGCUUGAAAUCAUUAGUGUGACUUUCAAAUUGUGAAGUUUGACACAUUGUAGAUACGCCCCAAACGAAAAUUCGGGGUCCAUCUCUCAGAACUAGGGAGUAUAAUCUGAUAAAAUCAGUAGAUACUCAUGUUUCUAGUACCUUAUGUCAUAACUUAAUAAAAUGUAUCGGAGGGCACAAUAUUAAGCAAUCAUCAUAUCAAUAUGAUAGAAUGUAGGCUUAAUCGUAGUGGCGAUAAUCUGCUAUGCAUUAGAUCAACACACUUCUUUGUGGUCCCAAAACAUCAAUUUGAAAGAAAAUCACUUUGGAAUUUUGCAUAUCAACUCGUGCUCGUAUUAAGCCAAAGGCUCAAUUAAGACGAGGGGUUGAUUUUUAUUUGCAAGAAAUUUGAAAUCUCAAUUACAAAUAAUAGAGGUAAUAAAUCUCAACAUGUAGCAAACAUGGAAAUAUAUAUUACAUCACAUAUGUUCUAGAAUACAAAGUACUCUACAGAAAACAAAACAGUACUAGAAAUAGACGUACUGAAAACAGGAAUUAAACAGGAUCUAAGACAGGGAUUAGUCUACUGCUAGAUCUACUGUUGAUAGUACAGGAAGUAAUCUAAAACAGAGAGCAAAUAGUGCUGGAAAAUACUACUAAAGUGUGCUGGAGUGCUGCAAGACCACAUGUGCCAUCGAACCAAGGCCACAUGUGUCCCAAGGAUGUGCACAUGUCGUCUGCAGCGUCCACUUUAUUCAAAUCACGGGAGGAUAAGGCAGAGCCAGCUCUAAAAAAACAAGAGCGGCACCGCAUCAGGCAGAGCCCCGCGCCAGGGAGAACUCCGCGUGUGCUGCUUCACAGCGUUCACCAGGGACGGGCGAGAGAGCCUCCGCCGCGCUCGUCCUCGUCUUCGUCGGAAGGCCCGCCCGGGGGCAAGGAGCGAGGCGAGGUGCCGUCCACGAGCCCAAGGGCGGCCGGGCUCCAGGANGCUCUCCAAACCUGCGGUGGAGAGCAGCGAGGCGGCGACGACGGACGUAGUUCUGCUGCAGGCGGCGAAGGUUCGUCGGCGUUGAGCGAGGCAUCCUUCUCACCUUUUGCUUCUUGCCUGUCGAUCUCAUCGAUCUCGUCGAAAGCACUCUGGAAGAGCAGUGCUGAUAACGUGUUGUAAGUUGAAUCGAGAGAGAGAUAGCGAGAGAAACAAAUGAAUCAAAUGUCACUUUAUUCCUUGAUGAUUGAACACUUUAUAUGCGAGGGAAAGACGGUUCCUGGAGGCGACGCUCCAGGAACAAUACGUCGGUUCCGCAUCGUGGGGGGAAUUCACGUGCGGUUACAUGUAGAAAUUAAUUUAACUAAUUACAUAAUUAAUUAAAUUCUAACACAGUCUACUUAGCGUUUCAGGCUAUGUAGCAACGCCAAGGCGCAUGGCGUUUCAAUGCAUGCGCUACUGUUCGCAGCAUGCAGGCAGGCAUGCACGCAUGCGCCGCUGUUCGCAGCUACUGUUUGCUACUGGUCACUGCCCCUCUCUGCUCGUUUUUGAGUCUUGCAUGCCAGCUACACUGUGUAUGGAGUCUUGCAUGCGAGCUACACUGUGUAUGGGAGAAAAAAUAAUGCCCAGUAAAGAGGAUCGGAGGGAGUACACUGCAUCCAUGCAUGCAGGCAAUGCAGAGGCAGGCACGCACACACACAUAACUAUGGGAUGUGGCUAUGGUGUGGCGUAGAGUAGCAUGGAUGAUGAGCAGGAGUAAAAUAAACUAUUGUUGCUCCUACUGGCACGGUGACACCGGCACAGUAGCUCAUGCAUGGUUAUUUGCCUCAGAAACGCCAACUCGCAUGGCGUUUCACUGAAGGCCAAAAACGCCACACUAUACAGGCAUUUCUUAAUAGGUCUGCAACGCCACGUUAGAGUGGCGUUUCUUAAUAGGGCUGCAACGUCACGGACUAUGGCGUUUUAAGAAAAUGAUCAAAACGUGAAAUUGUUUUCAAACGAGUUCGUUACGUGAUUAUCGUAGCCCCCUCGGAUCAAAACAGUGAAAAAACCCCAGAUGUUUCAAGCUACUGGCUUCCUUUAAUCCUUUCCAACAUGAUUUUUUAGGAACUUAAAAGCAAACAAUUUAAUUGCAAAUCAAUAUAUAUAUGGAUGGUCUGAGCAUCUACAACCACGGAUCCACCCCUCAAAAGUCCGCGGACGCGUCCGCGGACAUAGACCGGGCGCGUCUUAUUUUUUGCCUUUCACAUCUGCGUCUCUCAUAUUCGAAACCUCAUAUCCAUACAAAUGCAUGCAACGUCACGUAAAACAAGAGAUAACCAUUCUCCAUUGGAUUGGAUUGAUUCGUCGAACAAAAGCAUCAUAGUUCAUCGAACUUCAUCGGCAAAUUAAUACUAGAAACUACUUAAGCAUAAUUAAAAUGUACACAACACGGGGCGCUCACGGUCGAACGUCGCGCGGCCAGCGCCUCCCCCUUUCCCUCUCCCAUUGCCGCUCUAGACGCGCUGCACGCGUCUUGGACUCCGACGUCCUCUCGCGCCCCGUCCCCGACACGGGCACGAGGACCUAGCGUGGCCGGGUACCGCUUUCGAAGCAGAAGGUGGUGGAGGUGGGCAACGUACCUAACCUGGAGCGGACCGGCCGGAGCGGGAGCGACCAAAGCUGUAUGCCUUGCGGGAAGGGCCUGCUACGUCGGCGUGCGAUGAGCCCGAAGGAUGUAGGACCACAGUCGGGGCCGCCUUGGUCCUGCAGCAACCGGCGUAACGCGAUACGGAGGGCCACCUCCUCUACAUCGACGUUUGAUCCAUCAGAGUUGCUUCUGUCGCCGAUCAUCGGGUCGGAGGGUGGGGGAUUUGAAGUGGAGUGGACAGAGAGUGAACUGCUGGAUGUCUAGAGUUUUUGGAUUGGGGUAUUUAGUGGGUCCGUGGUGGGCGGGCUAACAUGGCCACGGGGUCGACGGUGGGCCAGACCUGACAGACGGGGCAUGCCCAGGCGCGCCCGGGCUUUCCCAUAUCCGUCCUAUAUUUGAAAUGGACAUGAGGAGUACCGCUCAGUCUAGACGUUUGAGACGAGUUUGAGAGACUCGUCUGGAUCGAAUUUUUGUGACCGGACAAUGACCGGACGGCCAGCCCGAUAUUUUAAGGAGCAUUUAAAGGGUCUGGCUAUAGAUACUCUAAUACUCUCUUGGACCCUUUUAUACGUUUUAAAAACCAUAAAGUUGAUCGUUCAAUUUCUGGGAGCAGUCGUUCAUAUGAAAACACCCUCGUUAUCGGACUAAGGCGGCCACCAUAUUCUUUACCAAAGUGUUCAUGUGUUUUCCUAUUUUUUGUAUCACGUUUCCUGACUUAUCCGUCCUGGUGCGGCCGUCGUGGGUGAUGCAUGAGAGCCAAUGGUUUUAGUACCACAUAUGGUGUUCUUGUGGAUAGGUAUCUUAUGUUUAACUUGUCUUGAGAGAUGUGACGGUGUUAAUGAUGUCUACAUGCUCUUUUUUGUCCGUUCUUCCUUUUUUCUACUAUGAUAUUUAUCUUUUUCCUUAAUAAUAUGAAGGUAAAUUUAUUGAUGCCAGUUUGCCAUGUGUGGGAUGUCUACCUCACAACAAAAUAUUCAACGGCAUUAGUUUCCCCAACUCUUAGGGCAGAUGGCUCAUAUGGCUUGAAGACCUAUGAGGUUAGUCGAGGUUAUGUAGGUUUUUUUUUGGUUUUAAUUAUUAGGAUAUACCUUGUGAGGGCUUCGGUUGCCUUUGUUAUUCACUUCAAUCAAAUGUGCCAUUUUUAUGAAACAAGCUCCUUAUGUUCUUCUUAAUAACAAAUGAAUCGAGGUGGUCUUUGAAGGCAUCUUCGGGUGGAAUGGACGAUGCGGCUUGGUGUCUUGGUCCUAUGGCUCCUUCACGAGCGGCGAUGUUUGGCAUGCUUCUAGUAGCUUGUGGUGUAAUCUCACUUCAUAUCUGUCUGGUGUAAUUUGUAGUAGUCGCUCUACCUUCUUCGUCCUCUUCUUCUCUAGGAUGGCGAAUUAUUUCGCAGAUCUUGCUGGCGUUGGCGUUUGCUUCCUCCGACCAUCGACUUCCUAGUUGUUGCUUAACAAUGUCCUCCUGACAUUGAUGGGUUUUGAAGGUAAAGAGAAAGCAUCGAGCUUUUCUCACGGUGCGCCGCUCGCGAGUUCACCAGAAAGAUGACGACGAUUUGUCCAAAGACAAGUGUGUAACUAUUAAUUUCUAUAAGAAUGACCUUUAAGGGUUUGUGGACUUCAAUAUAUGGUCUUUGGCCUUCUUAUGGAAUUGUUUGUUUGAAUAUGCCGAAAAGAAAUCAUAAACUUGUGGGUCACACACAUAUUUCCCCAAGGAAUUAAGCUCCACGAAAUUCCAUUUUGCAGUUCGGAGCAAAGCCACAAUGCAAGAGAGAGAUCUAAUACCAUGUACCAAACAAUCUAAGAAUGAAAAUAUGAUGGUCGCACUUGAAAGCAAGUUAUAAUUAUCAUAACAUGAAAACUAUUAGUGCAAAAGCCCCUCAAAGGUUAUAAAAGUCCAUAAACCGCCUAAUCGACACCACCAUGUAAAACUUUCUUGUGCUUUCACUCCCACCCUCCUUUAUUAGCAACAAAGAGUGUUAAACAAUUGAGAGCAUCUCAAACAGCAGCUGCAAAAACCGCACACGCGGGGAAAAUAGUCUUUUAGCACGUGUGGGGCGGUUGCGUGCGCUCCAGCAGCCGCGGAAUAAUCGGCCGCGCGGGAAAAGGUAGCCCGCCGCGCGAUAGAUUUGGCGUGCAGCGCUCGGCGCGCCCUAUAAAUGCAGUACUCGACCACGCGUCCUUCCACCGCUCUCACUCGCCUCUCUCCCGCCACGCGUCCUCUGUCGAUGUCUCUCUCGCCUCGUCGCCCUCGCGCCGUCGCGGAACUUCGGGAUACCGUGACGUCCGUUCUGCGCUUCGCCAAGAUCCGCUCCGGCGACAUGCGCCUUGGCCUCGACACGUUCGACGCCGCCGACGAUGACGUCCGUGCGUAUGACGCGGCAGCGUUGCGCCUCAACAUGCCUCUUAGGGAGAUGAAUUUCCCCGAGGUGAUGACGCUGGAGUGGGCGCAGAACCCCACGCCUCGUCCAUAGGUUGUCACCGAAGAGGACCAUCGUCGGAACCGGAGGCGGGAGCGCCGCCUCAGCAUUGUUGAGAUGGACGAGCAUGCCAUGACAGAGUGGCGCCG
rnacentral:lncRNA from 1 species